rnacentral:rRNA from 1 species
AUUGAACGCUGGCGGCAUGCCUUACACAUGCAAGUCGAACGGCAGCACGGGGGCGAACCCUCGGUGGCGAGUGGCGAACGGGUGAGUAAUGCAUCGGAACGUGUCCUCUUGUGGGGAGUAACCAGUCGAAAGAUUGGCUAAUACCGCAUGAGAUCGAGAGAUGAAAGCGGGGGACCCGAGGGUAACUUCGGGCCUCGCGCGAGAGGAGCGGCCGAUGCCGGAUUAGCUAGUUGGUGGGGUAAGAGCCUACCAAGGCGACGAUCCGUAGCUGGUCUGAGAGGACGACCAGCCACACUGGGACUGAGACACGGCCCAGACUCCUACGGGAGGCAGCAGUGGGGAAUUUUGGACAAUGGGCGCAAGCCUGAUCCAGCCAUGCCGCGUGUGUGAAGAA